rnacentral:rRNA from 1 species
UCGAUAACGAACGAGACCUUAACCUGCUAAAUAGUGAUGCGAACCUGCGUUCGUAAGCACUUCUUAGAGGGACUGACUACGUUUAGUGGUCGGAAGUUUGAGGCAAUAACAGGUCUGUGAUGCCCUUAGAUGUUCUGGGCUGCACGCGCGCUACACUGACAGAGGCAGCGAGUAUACAACCUUGACCGGAAGGUCUGGGCAAUCUUUUGAAACUCUGUCGUGCUGGGGAUAGAGCAUUGCAAUUAUUGCUCUUCAACGAGGAAUUCCUAGUAAGCGCAUGUCAUCAGCAUGCGUUGAUUACGUCCCUGCCCUUUGUACACACCGCCCGUCGCUACUACCGAUUGAAUGGCU